CCAGGCUCUGAGCUGUCAACACAGAGCCCAACAUGGGGCUCAAACCCACAAACCCAGAGAUCAUAACCUGAACCGAAGUAAGAUGCUUAAGACUGAGCCACCCAGGAGCCCCAAUUGUUGUAUUAUUUUAGAGUAGCUUAUUUUCAAGUCUAGUCUCCAGACUAGCAGAAUUAACCUCACCUGGGAAUUUGGAAGUUCAGAUCCUUGGAUCUCACCCUAGAUCUACUGAAUCAGAAAAUCUGGAGAUAGAGACGAGCAAUCUUUGUUUAGAUUAGUCUUGCAAUAAUUUGAUUUAUGUCAAAAUUUGAGAAUCACCUAUGCACUGGAAAUUGAUUUCUGUGACCUUAAUCCAUUUUUUUACAGCAGUCAUAUUACUGUCAUAUAGGGUCUAAGUAGAGAUAUUCAUAAUAAAUCCCAGUAACAUCAACAGUGUUGUCAUUGUAAAUGUGAAUAAUACAUUUUGGCCUAAAUAGUCUUGGAUAAAAACUCUUUGCAUAAUAUUAUUACCAAUUAUGGAUAAAGGGUGAUAAUAGAAAACCUUGUGCACUGUGGCCAUUGAUACCUGUAAAUAGAUUAAUUGGAGGCAUCUUUCUCUGGAUCAUCUAAAUAUGAUCACUUUCAAGAUUACCAGAUAUCAGAUGAUGCAAGCUGCUGUGACAGUUUCUGGAAUUAUUUUACUGGUGUUUUUGUUCCUUCCCUCUAUAAGUGAUGCUUCUUUUGUGUAGUCUGCAAAUUACUUUCUUGACCUUGCAAAUAGUACACUGGUGCACUUUUUAUAGUAGAAAAGGCCAGCGGUGUUGAUAAGAGUGGUAUCAUCAGCUUUCCCAGCAAGUGUGAGUUUGCUGUCAAUCUAGAUUGAAGAUCAAUUAUAUUUUACAGAGUAGACGUUGAUUUUUGAAAUAUUCUCUCUGGAUAAGACCUUUACCUGGAUCAUUAAAGGUCACAUUUGGUUUAGCCAAGGGGCACUGAAAGAAUGUCUUACAAGAUAACUUUGCUAUGAUGCCUAGUGUGUGCAUGUGCAUGUUUGUGUGUGUGUGUGUAUGUGUAUGUGUGUGUGUGUAUAAACAGCCUCUUUCAUGUGAGACAUUUUCAAAUUUGCAGAAUUGAAAUAAAAUAGUCUUAAUAUAUAUGGCUCAGCAGUCUACAGAAAACAUUUCUGGUCAUUACUUUUUUAACUGCUCCAAGUUAGUUUAUGUUUCCCCUAUGUUUGCACCCAUCCCUCCCCAUCCCAACAUGCCAUGCUUACUUCUGGUACAGUAUUUAUGAGACUAUAUUAUCCACACUACUUAAUUGUUUAGAUUUUCAAAAAGAUUCUAAUCUCUCUGAGGGGAGGAAUUAUGAUUUACCAGUCUUUCUAAUCUCUCACCAAGUAUACAGUAGCUAUUGGAUAAGUAUUUGUUGUUGAAUAUAAUGAAGUGAAUCUGUGAUGUGAACAGCAAUGUAAUCAUCCUCUUUUCAGUUUUGUUUAUAAGAUUAAUAGAUUAAUUUGAUGAUAAAGGAUUUCCUUACAAUUUGUUCAUGAUAUAAAACAACUUAGUUUUAGAUGAGGUAGGGGACUUUACUGGUGUCCAUGAUCACAAUAUAAAGGUUUCCUAUCAUAAUUUCAUGACAAAAUAAAAUAAUUAUAACUGUCAAUCUUAGAUUUUAUACUAGCUUAAUAAGGUAUUAAACUUACUGAUGUUCUCUCAACAAUCUGUUGAAGCUUCUAGGUGAAGGCAAAUAUAUUUUGGCACAUUUAAGGACAAAUCAAUAAAUCUUAUUUUAGGGAAGAAAGGGUGGUAUAUUUCUAUUUACAUUUUCACUAGUAUUUUUCACCCUUCCAUUCACCCCAGGCUGGUAAGUUAUUCUGGAUUGACAAUAGGCCACUCAUGUGUUCUAAUCUAAGAGACCCUGAUGCUUCCUUUGAGAGUGUCAUAAUUUUUUGAAAAGUAGUGAUAUGAGUAACCAAAAUAAUAAAAGCCUUCAAUUCAGUUAAACUCAACAUUUAUUAACAGGCUCCUACAAUCUAGGCACCAUGUUUAUGAAUCCAUAUAUGAUUAAAUCAUACUAUCUUAAAUGAUGUAGUUAUCAUUAAGAUACUCAGAGAUACUUAAUGGUAUCAUUAUCACCAAGAUAUACAGAGCUUAAUGGGGAAGACAAACAUGGCUGCACCAAUUUGAGUUGCUUUAUUUAAAUUAUUGUAUUGAUUCUUCUAUCCUAUUAAUUAUGAUACAGUAUUCCCUCUCUGUUGUAUUUUUUUUCCCUUUCCUGUUUUGCAUCUUUCUUCAUUGUGUAUUGCUUUGUCUUCUUCAAAGGCACUCACACCUACAAGCCCAUUUCUUCUUUGUAUGAGAUGUAUAAUAUUAAAUUAUGCAGAUAAUUACACAAUUUCAGAUCUGUGUUUUAACCCCCUUGGGAAUAAGGAAAAUGGAUAACCUGGCUGCUGUCCAGAUGUUAUCACUUAAUGGACUGUGUUCUUACCCAGUUCAGGCAAAUUCAUGGUUUACUGCUGCCAACCUAGCUAUGAAUUGCUUUAAAAGUGGUCACAAUUGUCGUAGAUGUGUUCUGAGUUUUUUCGAGGGAACCACUCAAGAGGUUAAGGUGCUUGUCCUAAAGAUAGGGUUAUAGGAAAAUAAGAUUUGUUACUCCAAGGCUGUUUUCACUUCAAUAGAGAUGCUCUGUAGGUUUUUUGUAAGCUUAUUACCUGUUUGGUUUAAGAUCAAGGUCCAUGGCACAUUAUCCAUUACAACAUUUUGAAUCUAGUUCUUUAGAAUGAGCAAAGGUAGCCUGGGGAAGGCAAAGAGAUUUGGGUCCUUCCUUAGAAGUAUGGAAUGUUUGAUAUGUAGGAAAACUUUGAGAGUCUUUUCCUGUACCAGUGAAUUAAAGAUAGUAACCGACUUAAAAAAGAAGAUCAUAAAUAGGAAAUGCAAGUUUCUAUAGAGGAAAAUUUGUACAGAUGAAAUACUGAGUAGAAAGUAAGAAAAAUAUGGAAUAGAAUUUGAUGUUUAAAAGAGAAAUCUUUAUGGUCAAGGUACUUAAUGACAAAAUGUGUAUUUUUCCAGAAGAAUGUUAAGAAAAUCUUUUUCUUCAAUAAUGAAACUUUGGAGCUAGGAAGAAAUCCAAGAGUCAAACCCCACCUGUUUCCUCUGGAAAGCGACAUAGUGGAGCCAAGGCCUGGAAUCUGGGUCUCUUAAAUCCCAGUUAUGUGUACUUCCCAUCACAUUAUGCUUCCCGCAAAAUAGUUCUGUAAAAUAAUAUUCAGUUUCUAGUUGAAAUUUAAGAAUAUCUUCAAAAGAUUAACCCAUUAUAUACAUUUAUUUGUAAAAGAGGCAUCUUACUAUAGUCUUGGUACUUGAUGACAAAAUACAUAUUUUUCCUUUAUAGUUUCAGGUUAAAACAACUCCCUUUCAUUGGUGUUUUCCUUUGGUAUCUCAGAGAGGGCUAUUGACUGGAGGGGAUCAAAUAGACUAGCCCAGACUGGAAAUGUGGGUCUUUGGACCAGUCUGUCCAGCAGGUGAGCAUCUGGAGGCAAGCUUCAACACUUACCACCUCCUCAGCAUAGGACUAUGAUUCCUGAGAGAAGGGACAUGAAAAAGAUUGUUUUGUGAAAAAGUAAUCCACUAGGUUAUAUCUGGAAGCCAAAACUUAGAUGCCAACAGACCAUGAUCACCUCAACCAGAGUUCAUCUUGUUCCAGAACUUAUACAGAAAGAUUCACUAAGAAGAUCUCCUCAAGACAAAAAAGAAAAGUCAUAAAUAGCACAAGCUUUGGAAAUAAACAGACCCAGGCUCUGGAUUAUGUGGACUAGAAUUUUGGUCUGUGGGUGUCAUUAUCUAUUUUGCAUGCUGGUAAAGUAAUUUCUUCCUGAAGCUUUGGUAGAGCAUUGUUUGAAAGCUUAGUUAUUUAUUCAACAAAUCUAUUUGAGCAUCUAAUGUUUGCAAGGCAUUGCAGCAGAAACUGCAGGUAGAGUGUUCUGGAUACGAGUGAGACACAAGCCCUACUUAGAACCACACCUUUUAUGCUUUUUUUUUUUUCACAUUUACAUCUAUAUUUUAGUGGCUGUGCAUACAGACAUUAGUAAAAGAAAUAAUAUAAUUUGGGACCAGAAAAUAUAUAUGAGAUAAAGAGAAAUCAGAAAGCAGUAUAAAAUCUAGUAAUAAGUUUUUAAAUUAUAUAAAAUGAUGAUUAAACAGGUUAAAACUGUA